AGAGUUUGAUCCUGGCUCAGGAUGAACGCUGGCGGCGUGCUUAACACAUGCAAGUCGAACGAUUAACCCGCCCUCGGGCGGUUAUAGAGUGGCGAACGGGUGAGUAACACGUGACCAACCUGCCCCUUGCUCCGGGAUAACCCAGGGAAACCUCGGCUAAUACCGGAUACUCCGCGCGUGCCGCAUGGCCCGCGCGGGAAAGCCCAGACGGCAAGGGAUGGGGUCGCGGCCCAUUAGGUAGACGGCGGGGUAACGGCCCACCGUGCCCGCGAUGGGUAGCCGGGUUGAGAGACCGAUCGGCCACAUUGGGACUGAGAUACGGCCCAGACUCCUACGGGAGGCAGCAGUGGGGAAUUUUGCGCAAUGGGGGAAACCCUGACGCAGCAACGCCGCGUGCGGGACGAAGGCCUUCGGGUUGUAAACCGCUUUCAGCAGGGAAUAUCGUGAAGGUACCUGCAGAAGAAGCUCCGGCUAACUACGUGCCAGCAGCCGCGGUAAUACGUAGGGAGCGAGCGUUAUCCGGAUUCAUUGGGCGUAAAGCGCGCGUAGGCGGCCCGUCAAGCGGGGUUUCAAAUCCAGGGGCUCAACCUCUGGCCGGACCCCGAACUGGCGGGCUCGAGUGCGGUAGAGGAAGGUGGAAUUCCCAGUGUAGCGGUGAAAUGCGCAGAUAUUGGGAAGAACACCGAUGGCGAAGGCAGCCUUCUGGGCCGCCACUGACGCUGAGGCGCGAAAGCUAGGGGAGCGAACAGGAUUAGAUACCCUGGUAGUCCUAGCCGUAAACGAUGGGCACUAGGUGUGGGGGAGCAUCUCCUCCGUGCCGCAGCCAACGCAUUAAGUGCCCCGCCUGGGGAGUACGGCCGCAAGGCUAAAACUCAAAGGAAUUGACGGGGGCCCGCACAAGCAGCGGAGCAUGUGGCUUAAUUCGAAGCAACGCGAAGAACCUUACCAGGGCUUGACAUAUGGGUGAAGCGGGGGAGACCCCGUGGCCGAGAGGAGCCCAUACAGGUGGUGCAUGGCUGUCGUCAGCUCGUGUCGUGAGAUGUUGGGUUAAGUCCCGCAACG
rnacentral:rRNA from 1 species